rnacentral:rRNA from 1 species
GAUGAACGCUGGCGGCGUGCUUAACACAUGCAAGUCGAACGGUGAACGAGGGAGCUUGCUCCCUCCGGAUCAGUGGCGAACGGGUGAGUAACACGUGAGCAAUCUGCCCUGGACUCUGGGAUAAGCGUUGGAAACGACGUCUAAUACCGGAUACGAGGCGUGGGGGCAUCCCCAACGCCUGGAAAGAACUUCGGUCCAGGAUGAGCUCGCGGCCUAUCAGCUAGUUGGUGAGGUAACGGCUCACCAAGGCGACGACGGGUAGCCGGCCUGAGAGGGUGGCCGGCCACACUGGGGCUGAGAAGCGGCACCGAGUCCUACGGGAGGCAGCAGUGGGGAAUAUUGCACAAUGGGCGCAAGCCUGAUGCAGCAACGCCGCGUGAGGGACGACGGCCUUCGGGUUGUAAACCUCUUUUAGCAGGGAAGAAGCGAAAGUGACGGUACCUGCAGAAAGAGCACCGGCUAACUACGUGCCAGCCGCCGCUGUAA